UGAGGAACAUGACCUUCGGCGGGGGAUAGCCGGCCCAACGGCCGGGUAAUACCGCGUACAACCAUUUGGGGACAUCCCCGAGUGGUGAAAACAGCAAUGCGCCGAUGGAGUGCCUCGCGGCCUAUCAGCUAGUUGGUGGGGUAACGCUCACCAAGGCGACGACGGGUAGCUGGUCUGAGAGGAUGGCCAGCCACAGUUUGGGACUGAGACACCGGCCCAGACUCCGUACGGGNGCAGC
rnacentral:rRNA from 1 species